GACGAACGCUGGCGGCGUGCUUAACACAUGCAAGUCGAACGGAAAGGCCCUGCUUUUGUGGUGUGCUCGAGUGGCGAACGGGUGAGUAACACGUGAGUAACCUGCCCUUGACUUUGGUAUAACUUCAGGAAACUGGGGCUUAUACCGGAUAGGAGCCCCUGCUGCAUGGUGGGGGUUGGAAAGUUUCGGCGGUUGGGGAUGGACUCGCGGCUUAUCAGCUUGUUGGUGGGGUAGUGGCUUACCAAGGCUUUGACGGGUAGCCGGCCUGAGAGGGUGACCGGCCACAUUGGGACUGAGAUACGGCCCAGACUCCUACGGGAGGCAGCAGUGGGGAAUAUUGCACAAUGGGCGGAAGCCUGAUGCAGCAACGCCGCGUGCGGGAUGACGGCCUUCGGGUUGUAAACCGCUUUCGCCUGUGACGAAGCGUGAGUGACGGUAAUGGGUAAAGAAGCACCGGCUAACUACGUG
rnacentral:rRNA from 1 species